CGUAGGUUUAUAAAACUAACUAAAACAUGCUGAAAUUAUAGAUGUAAUCCUCUUCAGUUUCGUUUCGCUACCGCACUUUUUUCAGCCACUACAACUGUUUAAUUGGUUGUUAAAAUGCGGUAAGUGGAUUUUCGGAACCGUCUUUAAACGCACCACGAGCAUACACAUUCUGACGCCGCGUUUGAACCUGAGGAUCUAAUCACCGAGGGCAGAGCAGCUGCUGAUGAGCGGGGCAAUUAGCCAGAACCAAAAGAAAGAGCAAGGAGUCAGGAAGGGGACAUUAGACCAGAACCGGACGGUGAUGCAGGGUUUCAUCAGCUUUAGAUAACCUCUGAAGGUCCAGACGGCGUGCCAGCCAGGGGUUCCUCGACCCGUCUCUCACACACUUGACCCAGCACAGUCUGCGUGAGGAACAGCGUGUGCAGGACAGGAGCGCCAGAUGACUUCUGUCCAGACUGGUGAGGAAGAAGAGGCCAAGUCAACAUCAGGCCAUCGGAGCAAAAGCAUUUUUUUUUUUUACAAAAACACACAAGAGAACAGUAAACAGAUUAUAAAACCCCAACAUGACUAAACAGUGAGCCCAUUUAACAGCUGUUGGCACCUUAAUUAUGCAGGAUGAGCUGGAUUUGAACGGUUGGGUUUAUGCUGAGAUUGAAGCACACAUUCAGGUGAAUCCAUUUAGGAAUCAGGGGACUGAAUGUUCCCUGAUUUGCAAAACUGGUAGAGACAUUCCCCUAAAACGUUUGAAGCUGUGAUGUCAGGAAAACGUGGUUCUGUAAAGUCGUAGCAGGAUGGUUGUGGGACAGAUAAAAAUAUAAGCCACACUUUUCAGAUAUCAAAGGUUGAUAUAUUUAGGCCUUUGUGACCUCACUCUUGUGUUUGCCCAGGUCUGUUUACUGUUUUCAGAAAACACAUCUCUUUGUCUUUUGCCUUUCAGAAUGCUUAAUAGCUUCUCUGUAAAUGGGAUUUUUAUGUCAAAGGUCAAUGCAGAGGUGAAAUCAACAGAACUUUACCCUCACACACUUGGCUUGGUCCAGUUAUUGUGAAAGCCUGACGAUUUAAACAGCAGCGGCUGUUUGACUUUUGAACUCUUGACAGCGGCUUCGGUCCCUUGAGUGGCAUAAGAAAAAAUGCAAGGCGUAUGACUCAGAUGUCUUGUCAUUAUCCGGCAGCAGAUGUUGCUUUAUGAUUCACGCACUUUUCAGUUUAGUGCAGCCAAGCUGGGAUCAUCCGGCUGGUGCUGUUCCCACCAGAGAUAUGCAACGAAAUUCUGUUCAUGCAAGCUUGGUUUCACCUCCAAAUCGCUCUGAUUGGGAAUUUCUAUCCAAGUUGACCAAAGGUGAGAAAAAAGGCUG